AGUGAACGCUGGCGGUAGGCCUAACACAUGCAAGUCGAACGGCAGCACAGUAAGAGCUUGCUCUUACGGGUGGCGAGUGGCGGACGGGUGAGGAAUACAUCGGAAUCUACUUUUUCGUGGGGGAUAAAGUAGGGAAACUUAAGCUAAUACCGCAUACGACCUACGGGUGAAAGCAGGGGAUCUUCGGACCUUGCGCGAUAGAAUGAGCCGAUGUCGGCUUAGCUAGGGGGAGGGGUAAAGGACCACCAAGGCGACGAUCCGUAGCUGGUCUGAGAGGAUGAUCAGCCACACUGGAACCGAGACACGGUCCAGACUCCUACGGGACGCAGCAGUGGGGAAUAUUGGGCAAUGGGCGCAAUCCUGAUCCAGCCAUACCGCGUGUGUGGAGAAGGCCUUCGGGUUGUAAAGCCCUUUUGCUGGGAAAGAAAAGCAGCAGGUUAAUACCCCGCUGUUCUGACGGUACCCAAAGAAUAAGCACCGGCUAACUUCGUG
rnacentral:rRNA from 1 species